ACCCGCUGAACUUAAGCAUAUCACUAAGCGGAGGAGAAGAAACUAACCAGGAUUUCCCUAGUAAUGGCGAACGAACCGGAAAGAGCCCAGCUUGAAAAUCCCGGCGCUGCGCGCCCGGAGUUGCAGUCUGGAGACGCAUCCUCUGCAACGCACCGGACCCAAGUUCCCUGGAAAGGGACGUCAGAGAGGGUGACAACCCCGUCGAGUCUGGACCGUGUUGCUCCACGAGGUGUGGUCGUCGAGUCGGGCUGUUUGGGAAUGCAGCCCUAAGUGGGAGGUAAAUUCCUUCCAAGGCUAAAUAUUGGCAAGAGACCGAUAGCGAACAAGUACCGCGAGGGAAAGAUGAAAAGGACUUUGAAAAGAGAGUUAAAAAGUGCUUGAAAUUGCUGGGAGGGAAGCGAAUGGAAGCUGCGGGUGCGCCCCGGUUGGAUGUGGAACGGCCUUCAAAAGCUGGUCCGCCGCUCAACGCGGGGCGCUGGUCAGCGUGGGCCAUCGCGGCGGGACAAGAGCGGGAUGUAGUUUCCCGCCUAUGCCGUUGCGGUGGCCGAGGAACGAAGCGCGCGGGGCUCGCCCCGUGGGACCCGUCCCAACUGCGCGCUCGGGACGCUGGCGUAUUGAGCUCUUC
rnacentral:rRNA from 1 species